UACGUAAGGGGCAAGCGUUGUCCGGCAUCACUGGGCGUAAAGCGCGCGUAGGCGGUUUGGUAAGUCGGGUGUGAAAUCCCCGGGCUCAACCCGGGAACUGCGCCCGAAACUGCCUCACUGGAGGGGCGGAGAGGUGCACGGAAUUCCCGGUGUAGGGGUGAAAUCCAUAGAGAUCGGGAGGAACACCAAUGGCGAAGGCAGUGCACUGGACGUUACCUGACGCUGAGGUGCGAAAGCGUGGGGAGCGAACGGG
rnacentral:rRNA from 1 species